ensembl:snRNA U6 U6 spliceosomal RNA
GCUUGCUUCAGCAGGCCAAAACUAAAAUUGGAACAAUACAGAGAAGAUUAGUGUGGCCUCUGCACAAGGAUGACACGCAGACUUGUGAGGCAUUCCAUAGUUUU